rnacentral:rRNA from 1 species
AUGAAGACAGUGCCAACACCAAAACUAGGACGGGAAUUCAAUUCAUAUGAUGAUGCAUUCAAUUUUUUUAAUGACUACGCCAAACAUGUUGGGUUCGGGAUAAGGAAAGGACCAAAAAAUAAGAAGAAACACUACUUAUAUUGCGUACACUCUGGCAAAUACAUAACCUCUGUUCACGAUGUAGAUCAUCAGCGCAACAAAGUAACAAAAAGAACUGAUUGCAAGACAAUGAUGCUCUUGAAAGAAAGAGACGACGAGACUUGUGUUGUCAAAGACAUUGUGAUUGAACACAACCAUAGGCUCCUCAACAGCCCGUCCGCGCUCGUGUUUCUGCAUUCACACAAGACGAUAGAACCAACAGUGAAAGAAUACAUAAAAGACCUGCAUAAGACAAAUGUUAAGCAUGUGAAUAUCAUGAGUCUCCUUUCUUGGUUAUCUGGUAGGCGCGACAAAUUGCCUUUUACAGACAAGGACGUGCUUAACAUCAAAGCAGAAUUUGCGAGGACUGAUUCGCAAGAUGACGUGGAGAAAUUGUUUGCAUUCUUUGAGGAGAUGAAGAAUGAGAAUGAUAAUUUCUUCUUUGAUGUAGAUUCCAAUGCUAGCUGCCAGGCUGCAUACGCAGAUUUCGGUGACUGCGUCACAUUUGACACCACAUACAAAAUGAACAAGUAUCACAUGCCUUUGGGGGUUUUUGUCGGUGUGAAUAAUCAUCUUCAAUCUACAAUUUUUGGAGUUGCCUUGGUGGGGAAUGAGAGUAGCGACUCAUUCGAGUGGAUUUGUAAUGCUUUCAAACGGUGCAUGAGAAAAGACCCGACUUGCAUACUAACAAAUCAAUGCCCUGCCAUGAAAGCAGCUAUACCUAAGGUCUUCCUCAGAACUCAUCACCGCCUCUACCGAUGGCACAUUAUGAAAAAAAUAAAAGAUCAUUUGUCAAAAUUAUAUUCAGAACAUGACACAUUUAAGGAAGACCUCGCAAUAGUCCUUAACCAUCCACUCAUGUCAGCAGAGUUUGAAGUGGCAUGGCACGAUCUCAUGGACAGAUAAAACUUACAUAAUGACACCAUCCUGCUGGGCCUAUGGGAAGAGAGAACAACAUGGAUAUCCGCAUACUGGAAGGAGAUAUUCUGCGCGAGAAUGACGUCAACACAGAGAAGAGAAAGCAUGAAUCAUAUCCUGAAAAAAGGUUUCGUGAAAGAAACACAAGUGCUUCACCUAUUUGCCAGACAGGUCAAUGAAUGCAUACAGAAGAGGCACCAGCUUGAGGUUGCCGAGACAAUAGCUUCAAUAGUAAGAGCAACUCCUACAUUGUAA